rnacentral:rRNA from 1 species
CCUAGUUAAUUCUGCCAGUAGUUAUAUGCUUGUCUCAAAAAUUAAGCCAUACAUGUCUAAGUAUAAGCAAUUAUACCGUGAAACUGCGAAUGGCUCAUUAAAUCAGUUAUUGUUUAUUUAAUAGUACCUUACUACUUAAAUAACCGUAGUAAUUCUAGAGCUAAUACAUGCUGAAAACCCCGACUUCAGAAAAGGUGUAUUUAUUAGAUAAAAAACCAAUGCCCUUCGGGGCUCUUUAGUAAUUCAUAAUAACUUUUCAGAUCGCAUGGCCUUACGCCAGCGACGGUUUAUUCAAAUUUCUGCCCUAUUAACUUUUAAUAGUAAAGUAUUGGCUUACUAUAGUUUCAACAGGUAACAAGAAAUUAGGGUUCGAUUCCAGAGAGGGAGCCUAAAAAACAGCUACCACAUCUAAGGAAGGCAGCAGGCGCGCAAAUUACCUAAUCCCGACACAGGGAGGUAGUAACAAUAAAUACUAAUACAGGGCUCUUUUAAGUCUUGUAAUUAGAAUAAGUACAAUUUAAACCUCUUAACAAAAAACAAUUAAAGAGCAAGUCUGGUGCCAGCAGCCGCAGUAAUUCCAGCUCUAAUAGCGUAUAUUAAAGUUGUUGCAGUUAAAAAGCUCGUAGUUAAACCUUAGGCCUGGCUAGCAGGUCCGCCUCACCGCGUGUACUUAUCCGGCCAGGCCUUUCCUUCUAGAGAACCUCAUGCCCUUCACUGGGUGUGCUGGGGAACUAGAACUUUUACUUUAAAAAAAUUAGAGUGUUCAAAGCAGGCCUUUGCUCAAAUACGUUAGCAUAAAAUAAUAGAAUAGAACGUGCGGUCCUAUUUUGUUAGUUUCUAGGACCGCCGUAAUAAUUAAUAGGAACAGUCAGAGGCAUCAGUAUUUAAUUGUUAGAGGUGAAAUUCUUAGAUUUAUUAAAGACUAACUACUGCGAAAGCAUUUGCCAAAAAUGUUUUCAUUAAUCAGUAAACGAAAGUUAGAGAAUCAAAGACGAUCAGAUACCGUCGUAGUCUUAACCGUAAACUAUGCUGACUAAAAAUCAGGCGAUGUUUCUAUCUUAACUCGCUCGGCACCUUACGAGAAAUUAAAGUUUUUAAGUUCUGGGGGGAGUAUAGUCGCAAGGCUGAAACUUAAAAAAAUUAACAAAAGAGCACUACCAGACGUAGAGCCUGCGGCUUAAUUUAACUCAACACAGGGAAACUCACCAAGUCCAGAUGAAAUAAGGAUUGACAGAUUAAGAGCUCUUUCUUAAUUUUUCAGGUAGUAGUGCAUGGCCGUUCUUAGUUAGUAGAGUAAUUUGUCUGCUUAAUUACAAUAACAAACAAGACCUUAACCUGCUAAAUAGCCAGGCUAGCUUUAGCUGGUCGCCGGCUUCUUAGAAGGACUAUCAGCUUAAGCCGAUAGAAGUUUAAAGCAAUAACAGAUCUAUAAUACCCUUAGAUAUUCUAAGCCGCACGCGCGCUACACUAACAGAGCUAACAAGUUCUUUACCUUAGCCGGAAGGUCUGGGUAAUCUUGUUAAACUCUGUCGUACUAGGGAUAGAGCAUUACAAUUAUUACUCUUUAACAAGGAAUGCCUAGUAAGCGCGUGUCAUCAGCACGCGUUAAUUACGUCCCUGCCCUUUGUACACACCGCCCGUCGCUACUACCAAUUAAAUAGCUCAGUAAGGCCUUCGGACUGGCUCAGGGAGGUUGGCAACAACCACCUCAAGCCGGAAAGUUCGUCAAACUCAGUCAUUUAAAGGAAGUAAAAGUCGUAACAAGGUUUCCGUAGGUGAACCUGCGGAAA